rnacentral:ncRNA from 1 species
AGUAAAACGUUGAGUAGAAGAGUAGUUCAUUUUAAAUUUAGAAGAGAAUUUGCGGUUGCUGUGAGCAAAUAGUUAAAUUGAACGAAACACAUCUAUGAGUAUAAAGCUGAACAAAGUAAGCUUUGUCGGAAGUGUCCGUUAUCACAUAACAGUCUUUGACUUAUUGAGAUGCUACUAGUGAUAGUAGCAUAACAAAGAGGUGGAACCGCGAUGAAACGCCCUCUAA